CUUCCUAUUUGGAUGCCUUUUAUUUAUUUUGUUUGUCUGUUUGCUGUAGCUAGGUCUUCCAUUACUAUGUUGAAUAACAGAGGUGAGAGCAAGUAUCCUUAUCUUGUUCCAGAUUUUAGUGGGAAGGCUUUCACCUUUUCUCCAUUGAGUAUUGUAUUUGCUGUGGGUUUGUCAUAAAUGGUUUUUAUUAUAUUAAGGUAUGUUCCCUCUAUACCCACUUUGGUAAGAGUUUUGAUCAUGAAUGGAUAUUGGACUUUGUCCUUUGUCAAAUACUUUUUAUGCAACUAUUGAGAUGAUCAUGAAGUUUUUUACUUUUUUUUUUAAUGUGGUGUAUGAUGUUGAUUGAUUUGUGUAUGUUGAACCAUCCUUGUGAACCUGGGAUCAAUCCCACCUGGUUGUGGUGUACGAUUUUUUUUAUAUGUUGUUGGAUUCAGUUGGCUAAAAUUUUGUUGAGAAUUUCUGCGAUUAUAUUCAUCAAAGAUAUCUGCCUAUAGUUUUCCUUUUUUAGUAGAAUCUUUGUUUGGUUUUGGAAUUAGGGUGAUGGCAGCAUCAUAGAAUGUCUUUGGGAGUGUUCCUUCCUCUUCAACCUUUUAAAAAGUUUAAGGAAGAUGGGUAUAAGUUCCUCUUUGCAUGUUUGGUAGAAUUUGCCUGUGAAGCCAUCUGGUCCUGAUCUCUUAUUUGUAGGGAUGUUUUUAUGGCAUAUUCCAUUUCAUUGCUAAGGAUCAUUCUCUUCAGGUGAUCUACUUCUUCUCAAUUUAGUUUUGGCAGGCUGUAAGACUCUAGAAUGUUGUCCAUUUCAUGCCGUUGUUCAUAGUAUUCUUUCAUGGUUUUUUGUAUUUCUGUAGUAUACAUUGUGACUUCUUUUUCAUUUCUUAUUUUGUUUAUUUGGGUUUUUUUCUCCUCUUAUUGGUGAGUCUAGUCAGAGGUUUGUCAAUUUUGCUUACCUUUUCAAAGAACCAGCUCUUGGUUUGAUUCCUUUUUUUUCUAUUGUUUUUUGAAUUGCUACUUUAUUGAUUUCCUCUUUGACCUUGAUGAUUUCCUUCCUUUUUAUGACUUUAGGUUUUGUUUGUUUUAUUUUACCAAUUCAUUUAGGUGGUGGAUUAAGUUGUCAAUUUGAGAUUUUUCUUCUUUUUUGAGGAAGGCCUGUAUUGCUAUGAACUUCCCUCUGAGCACUGCUUUUGCAGCCUCCCAUAGAUUUUUAGUGGUUUUGUCUCCAUUAUCAUUUGUCUUGAGGUAUUUUUUAGCUUCCUUCUUGAUUUCCUCAUUGACUCAUUGGUUUUUAGUAGCAUGUUGGUUAGUCUUCAUGUAGUCAGUUUUUUGUCAUUUCUUUUCCUGUGGUUGAUUUCUGGUUUCAUGCCAUUGUGGUCAGAGAAGAUACUUGAAAUAAUUUCUACACUCUUAAAUUUGUUGAGGUUAGCUUUGUGCCCCAGUACAUGAUCAAUCCUUGAGAAUGUUCCACGUGCACUUGAGAAGAACAAGUAUCCUGAUUUUAUUUGGAUGUAAUGUCCUGAAAAUAUCAAUUAAGUCUAACUUUUCUAUUGUGUCCUUUAGGAUCUUUGUCACCUUAUUUGUCACCUUAUUGAUUUUCUGUCUAGAGAAUCUGUCCAUUGAUAUGAGUGGGGUGUUAAAGUCUCCUACUAUGAUUUUAUUUGCACCAAUUUCUCCUUUUUUAUCUGUUAGUAUUUGUGGUAGGUAUCUGUGUGGUGCUAUCUUAGAGGCAUAUAUAUUGAUGAUUCUAAUGUCCUCUUCUUGAAUGGAUCCUUUAACCAUUCAAUAGUGUCCUUAUUUGUCUUUCUUAAUGGCCUUCAUUUUAAAGUCUAUUUUGUCUGAUAUGAGUAUUGCAACUCCUGGUUUCCUGUCUUGUCCAUUGGCAUGAAAUAUCUUUUCCCAUCCCCUCACUUUCAAUGUACAUGUGUUCUUUACCCUAAGGUGAGUUUCUUGUAGACAGCAGAUUGUAGGUUUUUGCUUUUUUUGUCCAAUCUGCCACUCUGUGUCUUUUGAUUGCAGCAUUCAGUCCAUUGACAUUUAAGGUCAGUAUUGAUAGAUAUGUAUUUAUUGCCAUUUUAAACCUUGUUUUCCAGUUGAUUCUUUGUUUCUCUUUUCUUCUUUUUUUUCUUGGUUGGAUGGUUUCUGUUUAUUUUAUGCUUGAGUACCUUUCUUUUCAAUUUUUUCAAUGUAAUGCUUGGUUUUGAUUUGUGGUUGCCCUGUUUUUUAAGUAUGUUAUCCCCUUCCUAUAUCUACUUGCUUUAACCUGAUAGUCAUAUAGGCUCAAAAGAGAAGAAUUAAGACAUGUGUCAUCCAUAUUCAAGUUGUUGUAGGGAAAGUUUCCAUUGCUUUGCAUGUCAGGAUUGCAUUACUCAAUAAUUAGUUACUAUGUAUCCAUCCUAUAUGAAGCCCUCUGCUAAUCAUUGUGCAUCAAUGGGUUGUUGACAUAGGCCAUCACAUUUUCUGUGCUCCUGAAGUUUUUUCUUGUGGGUCUUGCAUGGAUAAAGUGUAGUUAUAAUCUCAUAUUUCUUCCUGGGGAAUUUCUCAUUAGCAAAUAUUCAUAAAUAACAUCCAAAAUGACAAGUAGAGUUGACAUAUUAGAUCAGAAUGGUGAGGGAAUUCAAUUACGUUCAGCAACUUCUGUGAGUUUCUCAAACAUAACUUGAAAGAAAGGGAGCCAGGAGUUUGGAGAUUUUGAACAAGAGUUCCUGAAUACCAUCUGAAGAUGCAAUACUAUGGAGCAAUUAUAUUAUGGGAAGAAAGAAAUCCCAGUAAGAACCGGAGAGCAGUCCCUGACAUCUAUAGGAACUGGGAGAUAACUGAAGCUCUUCCUGGAUUCUCCUGAUGUGUGGAACCAGAAUCCUUCUCUGAGGAUACUCCUUUUAGCUUAUGAUUUAGAAUUUUCUCUAAUCACUUCUGAUUUUGAUCUCCCUUAAUAAUGAAAUUAAGAAAAAUAGCAAAAAUUCAUUUAAUGAUAAUGCAUACAAUAGCUAUCAUUUAUUAUACUGCAUCUACAAUGCAGUCAUGUACUAACUGAUUUAUUUGUACUUUCUUGAAGUAAAUAAAUCCUCUGAGAUAAAAGUCAUUUCCCCCAUUUUUACAAAUGAAAAAAAAAAUAAACUUCAUAUAGAUGAACUGGUUUUUUUGAAGGUCAAAUAGAUAUUUUUGAAUCUGGCUCUGCCAUUUAUUAAAUCCAUGCCAAAGCCAAAGUUUUUGACUAUUUCCAAGUAGCCAGGCAUAACACCAUCAUUUGUGUAAAAUGGAAAAACAUAUAGCAGGAAAUGAUUGCAAAUGUAUGAAGUAAAACUGCCUAUUUCUGGAGGAAAACUGGGAUGAGACAAGCUCUACUUUACAAUAUAUACUUUUUUUGUAUAUUUAAAUUUUAUUUAAAAAUUUUAAUAUUUUUUAAACAAGGAGUUCCCUUUUAGUGCAGCAGACUGGGGAUCUAGUGUUGCCACAGCUGUGGGCCAGGUAGCAAAUGAGGUACAGGUUCAAUCCCUGGCCCUGGAUCUUCCACAUGCCAUAGGUGUGGCAAAAAUUAAAAUAAAAUAAACAAAUAGUAUUUUUUCUUUAUGUGCAAUUUAAAAAAUUUUUAGCACAAAUGAUAAACAGUCUCUCAAAUUCAUUCCUUUUUAUCCAUCUUGGUUGUACUAAAACAAUCCAAGGGAAUGGAUUUUUGGUCUAUGCUCACCUAAAUUUCAGAGAUGUAGAGAUGUACUAAUGUAGUGGUGGCUUGAGAAGUUUUAAGGCAAAGCUCAUUCAAGAAUGAGAACAUUUCUGCAGAGGUGAUUGUGAAGAGGAAAAUGUCAAUACAUAGUCUCAAAACUUCUGAGCUACCUUCUGCUAAUAUCUUGAAUUACUUUUUUUUUAUUUUAAUAGCAGAAGCAAUAUCCUUAGUGGCUUGAAUUCAAAAGAGAAAACAGUGCUCUAUGAUGAUCCUGAACUAGGCUAAAUGAGAGUGUUUUAUAACAAACAUCUCAUAAUGAAAUACUUCUCAGCCAUAAAAAGAAUGAAAUAAUGCCAUUUGCAGCAACAUGGAUUGUAACCUGAGAUUAUCAUACUAAGUGAAGUAAAUCAGUAAGAGAAUUACAAAUACCAUAUUACAUCACUUAUAUGUGAAAUCUAAAAUAUGGCACAAGUGAACCUAUCUACAAAACGAAACAGACUCACAGACAUAGAGAACAGACUUAUGAUUGCCAAGGGGGAGAGGGCAGGGAGCAGAAUGGACUGAAAGUUUGGAGUUAAUGGAUGAAAACUAUUACCUUUAGAAUGGAUAAAAGGAAAGGUACUACUGUACAGCACAGGGAACUAUAUCCAUUCUCCUGGGAUAGACCAUGAUGGAAAAUAAUAUUUUUAAAAAGAAUGUAUACAUAUGUAUGACUGAGUCACUUUGCUGUACAGCAGAAAUUGCAACAUUGUAGAUCAACUAUGCUUUAAUAAAAAUAAAAAUAAAAAUGUAUCUUAGUAUAUCACAAACAUAACUUUCAAACAAUUAAAAUGUUUAAAAGUGAAAAGCUUUCAAAUAUUCAACAUCUAACCCAUAUAUUCAAGUUAAAUUAAGAAUAAAUUUGAUAAUUGGGCAAAAAUUAAAUUGAUGUCAAUACCAAAUGCUAACACAGUUUAAACAGAAAAGGGAUUGAAGAGAGACAUUUAAAAUAGCUUCUGUAAACAAACCAGCACUAGUACAUUCAAUCCACGAGCAUGGGACGGGGAGGGGGGUGAGUUUGGUUCCCAUUGAAACUUUCUCUUUCCUGCAUUAAGUGUAAAACAGUUUGUUUUUCCACCUGAUAAUCUGUUUAAAAAACAGAAAAACAAGAAAUUCCUAAGUGACUGAUUUCUUAUGUUCAACCCUGACUGAAAAGGGAUUUUAAGUAAUAGCCUCCUCAUGAUCAAGUGACUAAUGAAUUUGAAGACCUUAAUGAGUUUAUGAUGACA
ensembl:lncRNA